GUAGGGAAUAUUGGACAAUGGGGGCAACCCUGAUCCAGCGACACCGCGUGAGUGAUGAAGGCCUUCGGGUCGUAAAGCUCUGUUGCAGGGGAAGAACACAAUGACGGUACCCUGCUAGAAAGGAUCGGCUAACUUCGUGCCAGCAGCCGCGGUAAGACGAGGGAUCCUAGCGUUGUUCGGAAUUAUUGGGCGUAAAGCGGGUGCAGGUGGCUUGGUAAGUCAGAUGUGAAAGCCUGGGGCUUAACCCCAGAAGUGCAUUUGAUACUGCUGAGCUUGAGUGCUGGAGAGGCUAUUAGAAUUCCUGGUGUAGUGGUGAAAUACGUAGAUAUCAGGAGGAAUACCGGAGGCGAAGGCGGAUAGCUGGCCAGACACUGACACUCAGACCCGAAAGCGUGGGGAUCAAACAGGAUUAGAUACCCUGGUAGUCC
rnacentral:rRNA from 1 species